CUACGGGGUGCAGCAGUGGGGAAUUUUGGACAAUGGGCGCAAGCCUGAUCCAGCUAUUCCGCGUGAGUGAAGAAGGCCUUCGGGUUGUAAAGCUCUUUCGCAAGGGAAGAAAACUUAUCCUCUAACAUAGGGUGAGGUUGACGGUACCUUGAUAAGAAGCACCGGCUAACUACGUGCCAGCAGCCGCGGUAAUACGUAGGGUGCGAGCGUUAAUCGGGAUUACUGGGCGUAAAGCGUGCGCAGGCUGUUUUGUAAGUCAGAUGUGAAAUCCCCGAGCUCAACUUGGGAACUGCGUUUGAAACUACAAGACUAGAAUAUGUCAGAGGGGGGUAGAAUUCCAUGUGUAGCAGUGAAAUGCGUAGAGAUGUGGAGGAAUACCAAUGGCGAAGGCAGCCCCCUGGGAUAAUAUUGACGCUCAUGCACGAAAGCGUGGGGAGCAAACAGGAUUAGAUACCCUUGUAGUC
rnacentral:rRNA from 1 species